GAUCACAUCUUUCCUGCUUCUUGCGAUACAGUGCUGGACUGGGGACUCAUGAUGCGACAGGGAAGCAGAGGAAAUCCAGACAAGCUCCCUUUCACCACAGUGGGACUUGUCUCUACGCCUUUGCAACACUU
rnacentral:snoRNA from 1 species